rnacentral:rRNA from 1 species
CUACGGAGGGGGCUAGCGUUGUUCGGAAUUACUGGGCGUAAAGCGCGCGUAGGCGGAUUGAUCAGUCAGGGGUGAAAUCCCGAGGCUUAACCUCGGAACUGCCUUUGAUACUGUCAAUCUUGAGUUCGAGAGAGGUGAGUGGAAUUCCUAGUGUAGAGGUGAAAUUCGUAGAUAUUAGGAAGAACACCAGUGGCGAAGGCGGCUCACUGGCUCGAUACUGACGCUGAGGUGCGAAAGCGUGGGGAGCAAACAGGAUUAGAAACCCUAGUAGUCC